rnacentral:rRNA from 1 species
GCAAGUCGAACGAGAAAGUACCUUCGGGUGCGAGUACAGUGGCGGACGGGUGAGUAACGCGUAGGAAUAUACCUAGUAGUGGGGGACAACUCGGGGAAACUCGAGCUAAUACCGCAUACGCUCCUCUUCAUUGAGGAGGAAAGUGGGGGAUCUUCGGACCUCACGCUAUCAGAGUAGCCUGCGUUGGAUUAGCUAGUUGGUGGGGUAAAGGCUCACCAAGGCGACGAUCCAUAGCUGGUCUGAGAGGAUGAUC